CGGAAGUGGUGCUUCUGUGGGUACCGAGUGUAUCCCCACUAAGGGGACUCCUUGGUUCAAAUUCUUCUGUAGUCGCAGUAGUGAGGAGAAGAAGCAAACUGGAUCUGGAGACAACUAUUUGCCAUCAUGACCCCUGAAGAGGAAUGGAACACAGAGUGGAAGCUGAUAGAGCCCCGUGUCACAGUACUCGAUGGUGUGGACAGACACAUGACAAAGUAUAGGAGUAGGGAGGUCGAUUCAUUCCACAUCUCAGGAUGGGGUUUCACUACGUAGCCAGGAACUCCAUACACAGUAUAUGUUGCUGAAGUGAACAUUCUGCCCCUGGAACUCUUAAGAGAUAAAUUACUGUUCUUUACAAGUUACCCAGCUUCAGAAGUUCUGUUGCAGCAAUACCAAACGGACUGAAAGUUCCUGAGCAGCUUGAACAAACUAAUGGAGCCUAAGGAGGGAACCGUGGGGAGCCUGCUGAUGGGCAGUUGGUCAGCGCCUACAUAAAACAGCCUGCAGCUUUCACUGUCGUCAAAUGUGGGAGAACUGAGCCCCCAACCGGGGGGUCCGACUGCACCUCCAAGUAGCUAGAGUUGGAAUUGAGCUGGAUGAAAGGAUACCUUACCCAGUGGGUGGUGCGGCUGUGAGCUGGCAGUUACGGAGUGAUCUCUGUACCUUUUAGGGUCAUAGAAAUGUUGGCUAUCCUGUGAAAGCUGGCACAACAGUUGCCUUGUUUCUCUCCUGAGAAUGUAGAUUAAAACCCUAUUUUUCACUGUUGUUAGACCCAGUUCUUAAGGUUGGACUGAGGGAUGCAGACUGAGUUCAGCAAGUCCAGGGUCCUAGGGGAUGCUGUGGUGUAGAUCCUUUGGGGGGAUGUGGUAAUACAGAACUGUCAUUGCACUCUGCCCCACUGUCACCCUCCCACCUCUCCCCCAUGACGAAAGCUUAUAGCUUUGAACUUUUAGCUGAGGUGAUAUGCAGAAAGUGUCUACCACCUUCUUGUCCCCUCUACUUCCUAUCAGGUCUCCAUCCUGGCCACCAAGAGUGUCCCUUACAAACUACCAGGUCCUUCUCAGCAGUUACUGCACUCAGACCUAACAUCUCCUGCAGUGAUGAAGACCAUCUCAGCAAUCAUGAUGACUGUGUGGCCACAGGAAAUGGCCAUCAUCCUGAGGGAAGUCUACAUGUAUCAAUGUGGCUUAACAAGACAGAACCCAUACAUGACGUCCCGACAUUCCCAGUAUCUGGAAGGCAGAACCAUUCAGCAUCCAGACACUGGUGUGGUAAUGGUCCCUCAAAGGUAUGCAUGUAAAUCCCAGAAGCUGAGAAAAACACUGCUGCCUUGGCAUGGGGGAACUUUGCGAAUGUGGAUAAGGAUUAUUCUGGCUGAUUUAGAUGAGCCCGGUGUAGUCACCUUAGAGAGGAUGCAGUAAAUGAAGAAUCGGGAGAGCAGAGGACAGAAGCUGGAAUGGUGUGCAGAAACAGGAGCCAAGGGUGAGGGCAGCCUCUGGAAGCCAGAGAAGGCAAGCGAGGAGUCCCUUCCCUUGAAUCUCCAGGAGCAGCGCUGUGUUCCCCGUCCAUUCCACACUCACCCACUUCCCCACUGUGAGGUGCUGUUUGAAACCAUCCAAGCUUACAAAGGAAGCAGACACAGCCAGCAAGUAUUCAGGGACCAUUAGGAAACCCUCAGCUUUACUUCUACCCUUUCCCUUUCUUAUGCACAGGUGUAUGUGUGUAUGCAUGUUUAUGUGCACAUAUGUGUACAUGGUAUGUAGAGGUCAGAGGGUAACUUCACACAUCAUUCUGCAGAAUGCCGCCCAUCUCCUUUGAGAUGAGUCUCUCAUUGACUUGGACCUCACCAGUUAGGCUAGACUGGUUGGAUGGUGAGCCCAGACAUCCUCCGGUCUCUGCUCCCUUCACAAAUGCUCACCACCACACCCAGCACUUUUACAUAGGUUCUGAAGAUCGAACCUGGGUCCCUGUGCUUGCAGGACAAGCACGUUACUGACUGAGCCAUCCUCCUGCCUGGAUUCUCACUUGUCUCCAUACUUCUGGCCUCUGGGAAGGUCCCUCUUCUGCCACACA
rnacentral:sRNA from 1 species